rnacentral:rRNA from 1 species
GAUGAACGCUGGCGGCGUGCCUAAUACAUGCAAGUCGAGCGAACGGACGAUAAGCUUGCUUUUCUGAUGUUAGCGGCGGACGGGUGAGUAACACGUGGAUAACCUACCUAUAAUACUGGGAUAACUUCGGGAAACCGGAUCUAAUACCGGAUAAUAUUUUGAACCGCAUGGUUCAAAAGUUAAAGACGGUCUUGCUGUCACUUAUAGAUGGAUCCGCGCUGCAUUAGCUAGUUGGUAAGGUAACGGCUUACCAAGGCAACGAUGCAUAGCCGACCUGAGAGGGUGAUCGGCCACACUGGAACUGAGACAUGGUCCAGACUCCUACGGGAGGCAGCAGUAGGGAAUCUUGCGCAAUGGGCGAAAGCCUGACGGAGCAACGCCGCGUGAGUGAUGAAGGUCUUCGGAUCGUAAAACUCUGUUAUUAGGGAAGAACAUAUGUGUAAGUAACUGUGCACAUCUUGACGGUACCUAAUCAGAAAGCCACGGCUAACUACGUG